GAAAAUAAAACAUGCUCAUAGACUUGCUGUUAUUGUUCAUUUUCAAAAUUUAGGCUUGUCAAGUGAUCUGGAUUGUUCACAUUUGUGUCAUAAUAGUUUAUGUAUAAAUGUAGACCAUAUAAGUUUAGAACCCCAUUUUAUUAACAAUAAUAGACAGUAUUGUUUAAAUUCAAACAUUUGUCAUGGUCAUGUAGGUUUUAGGGACUGUUUGUUAAAUUUGAAAAUUUGAAAUAUUUUUUUUUAAUUUUAUUUUUUGAUGAUAUUAGCUAUUGUAUCCGGAGACACAAUAUUCCCGACCACCGCCACGGGGAGGCUCCCUCUUUAGAUGAUCCUGAAGCUGAUUGUCUCCCCUGCCAUGUUGCUGAAUGACUGGAUCUAGCUGCCCUCUCCUGUAGUCGGACUUUCGAGCGGACUUGGACCUUUUCUUAUGAUCUUUAUGCUGUGCUGCCAGUCUUGAUAUAGCUCUCUUCUUCACUUCAGGAGCUCCAAUACCAACAUCUGGUCAUCUGGCGUCAUCUGAAGAUGAUGUAUCUGGUUCGAACUGAGGAACAUUGAGCGCACCCACCAGUUGUCACCGUCAUCUCCAGAGUACACCUCGGAGUGCUGACUACACUUGGAACAGUCCCCUGAAUAGCACGACAAUGUG